rnacentral:rRNA from 1 species
AUUGAACGCUGGCGGAAUGCUUUACACAUGCAAGUCGAACGGCAGCACGGGAGCUUGCUCCUGGUGGCGAGUGGCGAACGGGUGAGUAACAUAUCGGAACGUACCCCGUCGUGGGGGAUAACUCUCCGAAAGGAGUGCUAAUACCGCAUACGACCUGAGGGUGAAAGCGGGGGACCUGCAAGGGCCUCGCGCGAUGGGAGCGGCCGAUAUCGGAUUAGCUAGUUGGUGAGGUAAAGGCUCACCAAGGCGA